GUCUCUAUAGCGCAGUGGAUAGCGCGUUGGAUUUCUAAUCCAAAAGUACCGGGUUCGUACCCCGGCAGGGAUG
rnacentral:tRNA from 1 species